GUUUUGAUCACCUUCUUUGAGGGGAGGAAGUCUGCUGGUCACAUUGUGUUUUAAGGGUACCUGGAAUUUGUUUUGGGUAUGGUAAGGCAUACAGACACAAAAAUGACUGUCAUGAAGGAAGUUUUUUCUUUUUUUUUUUUAGAAAUGGAACUUUGCUCUAACCUCUGCCUCCCAGGCUCAAGUGAUUCUCCUGCCUCAGCCUCCUGAGUAGCUGGGAUUCUGGGAUUAUAGGCAUGCGCCGCCACCACGCCUGGCUAAUUUUUUGUAUUUUUAGUAGAGAAGGGGUUUCACCAUGUUGACCAUGGCUGGUCUCGAGCUCCUGACCUCAGGUGAUCCACCCACCUUGGCCUCCCAAAGUGCUGGGAUUACAGGCAUGAGCCACCGCGCCUGGCCAGGAAGUUUUUACACAGUUCGGACCCAGUGCUUGAUGGGGAGUUUGGGUUUGGUAGCCACUUGAUACUCCUUAGUCAUGCAUUUAGCCUCUCCAGCACCCAGCAGCAAGGCAGAAGCUGUUCAAAUGGAGAAUAAUUGGCAGAAGACCAAACAGUCUUACUCUACUAAAACCCUAGAGGACUUGUGCCUUCGGAUCCUGAUUUAUUAAGUGAGAAGUCCACUAUCCUGAAGCUGCUAUGCUGGAGAGACCAUGUGAAAAGAUCAUAUAGAAGUAGAAAGAUGCCCAAGAAGCCAUAUAUGCUUCUUCCUGUAGCUGUUUCAGUCUGCCCACCCAGGGAUCGGACAUGUUAGAGAAAGAGUCUUAAAGAUUAUCCCAACCCCAGCCACCACGUGACUGCAACGUCAUGAAAACCCCACACCAGAACAGUGGUAUCAGCUCAAACUUUGCAAGGGCUAGGAGACUGAGGGCAGCUGACCAGAUUUAUGCGAUUGAGCCUAAUAAACUGGCCUGAGUAAGCUUCCCUGGUUGACAACAUUCUGCGAGUAUUAUCACACACUGGAUGUCAGGAAAUUAACACUGUCCACAACUCAUGGAAAGGACAACUGGGAGUUCUGUGUUUAGAACUUUCCUGAACUCUGCCCUAUGUACCCCUUCCCUUGGCUGAUUUUAACCUGUAUUCUUAGCUGCAAUAAACCGAACUUUCCAUGA